UGAAAGCAUCCCAGCUACUGAGGUUAACCUGAAUUGAGUUAUCAUCAACUUUGCCACAGUCUAUUAACCAACUGACCAGCAGUUGAACAGAAACACUGAAAAUCUUCAAGGUCAGCAUUCUCAAUACAGGAAGUGGAAAACAAUUUGAUUGUCAUCAGAUCUGCCUGUGAUGAGAGUUUUGACCUGGAACUGACCAGCAUGCCUAUAGCGGCCCAAGUUAGAGUAUCAUGAUAUAACAAGAAGAUCGGCAGUGUGGACCUGUGAGGAGCUUGCUAGCCUGCAGCACUGGGGGAAUGUUACGUAGAUAGUGUUUCCGAUAUACACAGCAACUUGUCUGGGCUGGGAGGGAUGUAGUGAUGCUGCUGCUGGGGUUCCUGCGUCACUUGUUUGUGUGGGGAGGAUCUCGGUGAGUGUUGAUGGCCUCUCCUCCAUCCUGCCUAUGUUGUAGGAAACUCAUCCCAUCCUAGGUCCUGUGAUCUCAUGGAUUUACUUGUGGAAAUGGUACCAGGAAUGUGAACUUCGUGGAUAGCUGAAGAGGUGGAUUUACUUGAGAAACUUCUAGAGACUAUAAAAACUAAACAUAUUUGGAACAAUAUUCAAGACUGUGAAGUUCGACAUCUUUGAUCUAGAUAUUUGGAGGAUUCUAUAUCUAUUCCACUUGGAAUUGUGUUUUGGGACAUGUGACCGAUGGAAUGAGUCACACUCUGUUGUGUAAGCGGUGUUCGACACGUCGUCAUCGGAGCAACAGUCGCUUCCCGUCGUAUCUCCAAUAUGAUGCCACAGCCCAUUCAGGAAGUCAUCAACAGCCUCAUGCUGCCCUACCCCAUGGAGAAAAUUGCCAAGGGCCAUGACGGAUUUGAGGAACUACGCAAGUACAUCAAGCAUGGCAGUGAGUUCACUAAGGAGGUGGCUGUCCUCUUACAAGAGAGGGCGGAUAUUGAAAGCACAUAUGCCAAAGGGUUGGCAAGAAUUGGCAGUAAGCUAGCUAAAGCUGCUGGCACAGGGUUGGGGAGUUUAUCUGAUGGAUGGAAGUCGGCUGCAUUGGCCAUGGAGCAGGAAUCAGAGCUACAUAAAAAUUUAGCUUCUGGAUUGCUGGAAGAAAUUAGCAAACCUCUGAAGUCUGUUGUGGAAACACAAAACAAAGCAAGGAAGCCGAUCGAGGCCAUGGUAGAUAAAGCAUUCAGGAAUCUCACAGACAGACGAGCAGAAGAGUAUAAGGCCAAGAAGAACGCUGUGUCAUGUGCUAAAGAAUAUGAGAAGGUGGAGGAUUCAGAAGUCAAAUCAGGGAAGUCAAAAGACAUAGCAAAGAUGGAGAAGAAGAGUAAGAACUCCCUGGCAGCGGUGCGAAAGGCAGACAAGGACUACGCCGAGUCCUGCUACAAGGGGGAGACUUCAAGGCAGGACUGGGAGUUCACCGUUUCCAAGGGCAGUACCCAGAUGCAACAUUUGGAAGAAGACCGAGUGAAGACGAUGCAGGAAUAUCUCAACAAGUACAACAGCCACAUAUCGGUGCUGCCUCCCAAACUAACACGAAUAUUAGACCACCUCAAUGAAACUGUGAUGGCAGUUGACCUUCAGAAUGACCUUCAGAUUGUUGUGCGUGAGAAAGGCGUGAAGGGUGCCCGGAUGCCGGAACAAGUCUUGAUGGACUGCUAUGCUGAAGAUGGUCAGUUCAACAUGAACCCUGUGCGGCUGCGGAAUGCUCUACAGAACUACCUGCUCUACAUACAGCAGAUGCUGGAGAGGGACCGCAAGGGCAAGGAGGGUGUACAGAAGCUAGUAGAUGUAUACAAAUCCAAGCCUAAUUUCGCUGAUGCUGAUGCACAGGAGGAUGUAAAACAGAGAUUAGAACAGACAACCUUUACUCUCAACUUUCUGGAAGCUAGUCACUACAAGAUCGCCAAGUCACUGGCCAAGGUGGACAAGAGAGACCCGCCAGUCCAUAAGUUCUCUCAGUACAUUGAGACCACCAGGGAAAAACAGGGUCACAUGGUGAGUUUGUUGAAGCUGCCGAUGAACCUGGCGCUGGACGGCAACUCAGACUAUACCUACUCAGCUGGCUCCGUCACGUCGCUAUCCACAGUCGGGGACCACUACUCCACCGUUGAACCAACCUACGACGAUGAUGAGUUUGAAACUGAUGACUUUGAUGAAUUCCCUCCUCUCACGCCGAUCGGGAGAUGCAAGGCGGUGUAUGAUUACGAUGCUGUUCAUGAAGAUGAGAUUUCAAUCAAACAAGGUGACAUAAUCUCGGUGUACGAGAAGCUGGCCGACGGCUGGUGGCAGGGCGAGCUGAAUGGAGAGGUGGGGAUCUUCCCAUCAACAUACGUGGAGGAUAUAAAAUGAGGAGCUGAGAGUCUAGCGUCUGGUGUACAUAGAGAUGUAUUUAUAUACAGCUCCAAGCAUUCUGCAUAAUGUACAUAGCAGUAGGUUACCGUUAAAGCCCUGUAUAUACACAGUAGUGAGCUAUGGUCCGUAUGAUGGAGGAGCUGAUUGUCAUCUGGGUAUUUAUUGAACAAUUAGCAUAUGCUCAUUGGAUUGAAAACAAGGGUGCCAUUCUUGUCAUGAAUGGUUCAAGAGCCUUCUACAAGGUCAUGACUGUUGUAUACCACUCAAUAUUUCCUAAGGACCACAUCUUUACUAUAGGUUACUUUUGAUCCUUACGAAGUGUUGAGUCAUAUAUGUCCGUGUGAAUGGCCUGGGACUGAUUGCUCCGUGGAAUGGUGUGACUUGUAAGCGCCGAAUGUGGAGAGUUCCAGGUGUUGAGAAGACUAUCAUCAUUACUUCAUGAUCUUGUAUUCGCUAUGUUCUUCCAUCACCAUCAAUAUAUACAACUGCUGUGUGGUGUGUUAGUGAUGCUAUAAGGUGGGGCGAUGGGGUAGCCUACUGGGUACAGCGUUCGCUCAUCACUCUGAAGACCUGGGUUCGAUUCCCCUCAUGGAUACAAAUGUGUGAAGCCAAUUUCUGGUGUCCCCUGAUGUGAUAUUGGAGGAAAAUAACUAAAAUUGGAAUAAUACUAAACUCACUCACUGCUUAGUACGAGCUGAUUUCCUUCUUGCAAGACUCUGACUUACAUUGAUUUGUUAAAAACAGCAACUGAAUUACAAAACAGUGUCUCGUGUGUGAGGACGUCAUUGUUCUGAGUACGAGCUGCUUUCAAUAUCACCUGACCUUGACUGAUUAUUAGAAAUAGCUUCUCCGUAAAGCCGAGUUUGUAUUCAUGGUGAAUGAGGAACAUGGUGUGAAUACCCGUGAAGUACUGACAUUGAGGAAGAACACCAGAACUCUGGUAGAUACUGGAUGUUAGUUUAUACUAGUGGUAUGUCAUGUUUGAGUUAAGGAUGAACGUUUUCUACUUUAAUCUAUCAGACACGUAUAGGUUAGAGGUUGUGUGAAACUGCUUCACAAUGUUUAACUGUUUCACCUGUUUCGACUUUACAUGGAGUCAGGUGUUUGGCUCGUCCAAGUUUAACCCUUUCUUGUUUCUACUUAGCUUCAAUUUGCAGAUGAAGAAUCUGUGUAUAUUUUCGUAACUAGUUGAUAUUAACUGUUGAUAUGUGCUGCAGCAUUAUUGUGUCAAGACUUUGUGUAUCAGUAGCAAGACUGUAGAGACUACAGGUCCAUCGACCAAUUACACAGACAUAUUUGUGUACAUACAACACAGGCUUGUGUUCGGCAAUAACAGUUCAAGAUAUUUCCAUCAUUCUUUAAAUUAUGAUCACUCUAGUUUGAGAACAACAAAAUACCUAGUUUUAUAGUUAGAAUAGAUAUGUUAUGGCUUCUCACAUUACAUCCAUGGUUAUCCAGUGUUUUAUGUGUCAGGCCCACCUGUACAAUCAGAAUGAACAUUAUAUGUGAGUUUACAAUCAGACCUCCUUUACAAGAUCCUGAUGCAAUAUUUGGGAAAAUUGAGGUGUGUGCAUAUAACCCCCAAGCCCAUCCUUAUCCUGCCAGUGCUGUUAUUAGUAGACAUUAACCUGAAAAUGAUGUUUACAUUAAUACUAAGAUAGGGGAAGAGUCCUCAUACAACCGGGUCUUUCCAUGCAGGAGUGCACGUCUACUGGGCUUACCGUUACAGAUUUCACUCAGCACUGAACCUAUCAACUAACCCAACUAAAAUAAGGAUGGAAGCGACACUUGAGAUCUGUGAAGCGAGAGUCACAGCAAGCAGCCUGAGUCAAUUAGUUGUACCUGGUAAACUGCUUCAGUUUUAUCUCUAAGUAGACUUAUCCCAUCAAGCAUGAUACAUGUAUUUAUCAUCAUAGAAUAGCAGCAUGAAGCACUGGAUAAUCAAAGGUGUCCCAAUUCAAAUAUUUUUGUUUCAUAGAUUUUUCGUGCACACUGAUGAUAUUACAACAUGCAGUAUGUUGUCACCUACAGACUACAUGAUGCUAUGCAGCCAUUCAGAUAAUCCAAGCUGACAUGAAUUUGCAUAAUAUGUACGCAAGAUCAUCAUUAAUAUCAUUCUGUAUUUAGAUGUCACUCACAAACAUCCAUAGCUGCACAGGGUAACCGUAGGAACAUGCUGGAGUUUGAUUUUCUACUCUCUGAUACAAUAAUAAACAGAUCUGAGAUAUUGAUAUUAAAUAUACAUUGAAUCACGGCCAACUCUCUGAUAUAAUAAUAAACAGACCUGAGAUAUUGGUGUAAAAUAUACAUUGAAUCAUGACCGAAUCAAUUUCUCUUUUUGAAUCA
rnacentral:misc_RNA from 1 species